ACUUUACUGAUUGCCUGUAGCCAUCUUUUCAAGUGUAACUUUUGUAACUGUUGUUGCCAUCGGUCGUCUCAACUUUUAAGCACAGAUUGUGGCGGAUGUAAACAAGUAUUGACGUCUGAAAACAAACUGUUGACAACCUAGACCUCUCACAAGUCAACAAACCUCAACUGGGUCAGGGAACUGAAAAACUUCAGGGAACUUGAAAACAUUUUUCGUUUGACCAAGUUUAAUUCAAAGAAUAAUUAUACUUCGCAAACUGAAGAAUUGUAGACAUAACUGGUUGGUAAAAGUCAAUUGAAGUUGUUGGUGGAAAUUGGACUCCUGAAAGGCUUAGUCUAUAUGGGAUGUUUAUUGUGGUUUUUGAGUAAUCUUUAAAGGAAUGUCCACAGACAUUUUUAGCGCUCAAUAUAAAUAUUAUUGGCUUGGUUUCUGUAUCCUUAUUGCUUUUGUGGUACUAGCAUUUUGCAAAUGCUAUAGUAAGAAUCUUUUCACUAAUGACGAAAUUAUACCUCGACGUCUAAUUGUGAUUCAACAAUUACGUCAGGACCUGGGGGGAGUCGUUGUUGAAGUUGGUGACGCCGAUGGUAUUAAUCAAUAUGGGGCCCCUCCUGCCUACGACGAUGUUAUCAACAAGCCAGAAGAUUAUCCAGUUUAUCAAUCUCCAGUGACUAAUGGCUCUGUGAAUGGUGAAUAUGGGAUCACUUUAGAGAACUUACCCACCUACAAAGAUGUAGUCCAAAUUUCUCAGAAUGACAUUAGUAAUACACGAGUGAGUCACAACCAAAGGGGAUAGGUAUGGGUACCGUGGAUUUCAUUUGCAAUAAAGUUUAUUAAUUAGAGAAACAAACAAGCAAACUGCAAAAAUGUUACAACUUUCAUGAAACGGACAGAAAAUUUGCAUAACUGUCUUAUAUUGUCUCUGUUAAUAAACAUUUAGGAAAAUCGCGGUUCGGACUGUAGAGAUUUUUGGAAUUGAUUCAAAAAGCAUUUUAUACUAAAAGUUGUGAUUUUACUUUUCAUCACUAAAUCAAUCGGUAUAUAGUUCAAGUUGUAUCAUGAUUAGAUUAAACUGCUACACUGGCUAUACCAGCAUCA